AGGCUGACACUAAAACACUGUAGGACUAUAGGUCAUAUACCCUAUUAUAAUGUGCUCUAACUAUAUAUCUAUAGACUCUGCUCUAUUACUACAGUAGCUAUAUCUACAGCCAGAACUGAGCUGCUGAAGCUGCUGUAGUUAGUAUUCUUGAAAGAGCUCCAGCAAAAAGAGUCCAUGUGCCACCUCACACACUCAUCCACUCCCACCCACACUGCCACAUUCACACCUAACAUGAGCACACACGGAUAUUUGCCUGAAACACACGGAUAUGCUGACUAGGCUAAUUGCCUAUCCCCACUGCCCUCUAUAGACACCUCUAAUGACCCCAUUAGGAGACUUCUUACACAGCAAUCAUGAGUAUUAGAGGAAGCUACAGCAGGCAGAAGUCAAGCAGAGCUCCAGUGUUGGUUUCCCCUCAUGCCGUGGCAGUCGUACAGGGUGACGGGGCUGCUCUGAGAGAUGGCGUCGAAGCAGAACUUCCUGGUGUGUAAAGGAUCCCCGGGCCUGAUGUCCUCCCUCCAGCCAAAGACGCUCCCCCGGCUGAAGGAUGCUGCUCUCCAGACUGCGCUACCUGUUCGUGUGCCCAGGUUCUCUCUGCUCCCUCCUUCAGGCAGGUGUCGAGACGGAGCUCGGUGCCUGUCGAGCCGUGUUUGGAGUCGACGCACAAACCCGACGCGGCGUUGCGGAUCUGCGCACACAGAAAAGCAUAAGGAGAUCAAUAGGAAUAUCAUUCAUGCACACUUCUGCUUCCUCAGGGUGUAUAGAAUACCAAUACUCUGUUCUUUCUGUUGUUUGUUAUUUAUGAAAAACUGCUGAUGCCUUGCUUAAAACAGCAAGUUUUGGAUAUUUUUCUCCAUAGUUUUAGUUUCUGUGCCAACUUUAAGUCAGCUCUGUGAAAGAGUAUCUUUUCUGAUUCAUAAUUCAUAUUCAUGUAAUUCAGGUUUUCUUACUUAUAUGGGUGAUUGUACUAUUAGAAAAACGUUCAUGAUGCCAGGUUAUAAAUGAUGCUAGAUAUACAUAUACUUUUUUAUAUGUGACAAAAUAUACAGCUGUAAUUGCUCUGAAAAUGUUUAGGCAUCAGUACAUUGCUGUUUUGGCCUUGUUCCCAACACAGACUUUCAAACCUGUUGUAAUAAAAUGAUAAAAAACAUGA